AUUGAACGCUGGCGGCAUGCCUUACACAUGCAAGUCGAACGGCAGCACGGGAGCAAUCCUGGUGGCGAGUGGCGAACGGGUGAGUAAUACAUCGGAACGUGCCCAGUAGUGGGGGAUAGCCCGGCGAAAGCCGGAUUAAUACCGCAUGAGACCUGAGGGUGAAAGCGGGGGAUCGCAAGACCUCGCGCUAUUGGAGCGGCCGAUGUCAGAUUAGCUAGUUGGUAGGGUAAAGGCCUACCAAGGCAACGAUCUGUAGUUGGUCUGAGAGGACGAACAGCCACACUGGGACUGAGACACGGCACAGACUCCUACGGGAGGCAGCAGUGGGGAAUUUUGGACAAUGGGCGCAAGCCUGAUCCAGCAAUGCCGCGUGCAGGAAGAAGGCCUUCGGGUUGUAAACUGCUUUUGUCAGGGAAGAAAUCUUCUGGGCUAAUACCCUGGGAGGAUGACGGUACCUGAAGAAUAAGCACCGGCUAACUACGUGCCAGCCGCCGCAGUAAGAC
rnacentral:rRNA from 1 species